UGUUGCAUUGAUUUUUCUUCGAUCUUACACCAAAAGACGUGUAAUUCAGUUGCUUUGAAGUUAAUAUCAGCCUCAGUGUUUAUCUACUAGACAGAUGUUGCUUUCAAACACUUAUUGUUACCACGGGUGUCUUUAUUUCUUGAUUAUAUUGAUAACUUCGAAAUUGAAUAACCACGUAAUGUGUAAUUUAAUGAAGUUACGCAAUAGGGAAUGAUCACAGGUUUUUACUUUACUGGGCGUAGAUGAAUUAUACACAUUGUUACAUUAAUUUGAGUGGAAAUUAAUUUACAUAAUUACAGAUUGAGGCAAAUUAUCUACGAUCACCUGGUAUUUACCACAACCGUAAAAAUUUGAAUGGCAUUUUAGAUUGGUUUGCUGAUUUUAUAAUAGGCAACAGUGUGGAGUCUAAACGUGAAUUACAGGAUUUUUCGAAAAAGUUGCCGUCAUUUCCUGGGAAAUUACGAGUGACGAAGUAAUUUGUUUGUUUUAUUGUUUCGGCUGAUUGCGGGUAAAUAACAAAAAAUGGAAUAAGCUCAACUUCAGAAUCCUUAAAAAAACUAAAUUAUCACUACUCUAACUUAAGGAUAAGUUUUAACAACAUUUUUAUUUCCGUAUGUAUUUGGGCUUGAAAUUGAAAUUGAAAUUUUUUAUAAAUAAAUUGUAAAACAAUGAAAAAAUUAUUUACUAAACUUUAGUUGCUAGUAUUAUCCUCAAAUCUUUUUUUUAAUGUUUUACAAAGCUUGUUAUAUGUACAAUCUGAGCUUACUAAAAGUGUUUUUCGUUAGUUAUAAAAUACUUUAUAUUUUUCUCUGUGCAAGAAUUUUUUUCAAAACUUUGUAUAACAAAAAUUAAUUAUUGUAAUUAAAAAAUAUUGCUAUUCCUAAAAUUAUUACUUGAAUUUUGUAAAGUUUUUUGGGGCUAUCAAGAGUUUUUUGCAUAAAACAUUAUUUAAUCAGCGCUUGAAAUAAUAUUUUUUGUGUAGCGUUUUAAUAUUAAUUAAUUAUUUAAUAAUUAGGAGUGAGGAAUUGUAAAAAAUACUCUUAUUUUGCAAAAUUUCGUCAAAAUUUCAAUUUAUAUCGACAUUGUUGUUUUUUGUCUUUGUGAAGUGAUUUAUCUUUUUUUUGAGCGACAUUUCCUUAAAUAUACAGUAUAUAAGUCGAAAAUUACCAAUACUUUAUUUUGACAUUAUUAGGGCUUUUUUGGUAGAUUCUUAUUGUUUUUGAGCGAGAUUUGAUAAAAAUUGCUAUAAUUUUUACAGAAACUGCCUAAAAUGUUUCAUAAAUUUGUAAACCUUAUUUGUGUAUGAUUUCUUUUAUAAAACAAUUUUUUAUGUUCACUUUUUAGAACAACAAAACAAAUGGAAAAAAAGGUAUUUUUUCCGGAGUGCUUUUUACGUCGCUAGCCAAUGGCGAGUGUUUCACAUUUUUCGACAAAAAUGUUUUUUAGGGUUGAGUGGAUUUUGAAAAAAAGAACAAAAAAAUUUCUUCAUUUUACGAUUUUUUUUAUGAAAAGCAAAAAUUUACUUUCUUGAAAAUAUAUUUUAUAGAUUGAAAAAGCCAGACAUGUCUUGCAGUAAUUCCCAAAUUAUUGGUUUCAAAUGCGUAUUUAAGCAUUUUUAUGCAAAUUUCAAUAAAUCUGUGUUCAUGUGGAGUUUUAAAAAUAACGGAAAAGUGCGAGUUUUUGCCGAACUUGCCAUUUAUUGAAAGAUCAUUUCCCCUUCGCAACAGAUGCAAUUCCGGUUCUCCCGAUCCAAGCUCGCAGUCAAAACCUAUUAUAAGCCAAACCUAUUAAAAAAAAUACCAGACUGCCGUUCAAAACUGAUGUUGUCGACAGCCACAACAAAUUACACGUGAGCCAACCUUGGAAUUAUUUAUGUUGAUUCGUCCCUGAGUUAUUUGCAAAAUUUCAGUGCCCCGAAAACUUUGCGAGACUUUGGUGAAACUCACUUAACUCCAAUCGGUGACAAAAUAAUUAAAAAUGCAACUGCAGUGAUACGUAGAUAAAAUUAGGCGUGAUGAAUACCAGCUUCAUUGUCAAGGCCAUCACCGAGGACCCAGAGGUCCAAGUGCAUGGCUGCGCCAGGAUUUUCCAUCGCGAUGGCGGCACGUAGGUAAAGUCACGCACAACGAAACGUGAACUACAGACUGAAAAGGGAGAAAAAUCGAAUUAAAGUCGAGAUAGACGCUCGCAAAACUGUCACAAAGUGAAUUAUUUCAUGCGAUUAGAAGAGCAAGGAUAUCGUCCAUAUCCGAUCAGAAAUAAAUUUGUGUAACAAUGCUUCAUGAAUGAGGUUGUGUAAUAAGCUUCAAUAAACGUUCAAAGCAUUCAUUUUUUUUAAUUUUUGGACUGGGUGUCUGAAUUUAAGUUAGCAAUCCUGAGGAAUUGUAUUUUGUUCAUUUAUCAAGUUUUUUUCAUUCAUUGAUGUUUAAAUUUCUGAUCAAAUCGGUUUGUCUUUCUUAAUUAAAUUGAGAGCGACGUUUUAUUAAAAUACCUAAAUACCAAGUGGAAAAUUAGAAAUACAUACGUUAUUUUGGCAUUAUUAGGUUUUUUUUGUUGGAUUUUAAUUGUUUUAUUAUUUAUUUUCGUAAAAAGUGUCCAAAUUAGAACAAAGUAGACGUGUGUACUUGAAGUAAUUUUUACAUUAUUUUGCACUUUUUCGAUGGGCUUAUCUUGUGUUUAAGCGAGAAAUUACCUGUGUUGCAAAAUUUUGCGAUAAUAUUAUCACAUUUGGUAUUUUUUACAGAAACAGCUAAAUUAAAUGUUUCAUAAAUUUGAAGACUCGAUUAUUAUGAGAUCUCUCUUCUAAAAUCAAUUUUUUUCUUCAUUUUCUAUGAAAAUUCAAAAACUACAAAGCUAAGUAAGGUAUUUUUUCCACAAUGCUUUCACUUUGAGGUAAAAAGGUUUUUGGAGGGUUUUUAGGGGAAAGAACAAAAAAUGUCUUUCCUUAUUUUCCGAGUUUCUUUUUGAGAGCGAGAACCAAAAAUUUACUGAUUUACUUCCAUGAAAAAAGUCUGAUUUUUUAGUCUUAUGAAAGAGAUUUUUUUUAUGAAAUUUUUAAUCAAAUUCGUUUUUUUCCAUAAAUUACAUUUUUGAGCUACUUUUAAUAUACACAGUGGAAUUAUUACGAAUACGUUAUUUGACGUUAUUGGGCUUUUUUUGUUAGGUUUUAUUAUUUUUGCGAGAACAACUUAUUUAUUUUCGUUAAAAGUGUCCAAAUUAGAUCAAAGCAAUUUCUACCCUGAGCUAAUUUUAACAUUAUUUUUCACUUUUCCAUUGGGCUUAUCUUGUUUUUAAGUGGGAAAUUUACCAAAAUUGCAAAAUUUCGCAAAAAUAUGUCCAGACUAUAUGAAAUUCAGGGCUUAAUUAAAUUUUAAUUCGUUGUUUGUUAAACGCGAAUGGACCAAUAAAAUUGGUUCAAUUUGGUCACGUGAUCAGUUAAUCACGCUUUUAAUUGGGGAUUAAAUUAAUGACGCUUCUAUAAACCGGUGUUUUUUUACAGAAACAGCUUAAAAAUGUUUCAUAAAUUUGUAAACUCUAAAAUUAUUGUAAGAUCUCUCUUAUAAAAACAAUUUUUUAUGUUAAUUUUUUGGAUGAUUCAAAAAUGUUCAGCAAAAUAAAAUCUUCACUGUAUGUUACUAUGUACUCUGGAGAACCAAAAUCUAAAAAUAAAGCAUGGAAAAACUUGAAAAUCACUUUUGAUGUUUUUCAUUUUGGAAGAACGAGAUAAAGCGACUAAGGGUUUAGAAAAAAUAUGUAAAAAAAAUAAAAUAGUCCUACUGGAAACUACCUCUUAAGAAUCCUUGAGCAGUUUUAGCUGCGGUUAUUGACGACAAAUUACUUACAGUGUUAUUCAAAAAGAAAACAAUAAAAUUAGAUUUGUAAAAAAAUAUAGUUCAGCUACUUUUUAUGGGCUGAUUUUAAGGUUUUUUUUUGUAAGUCAUAAAAAAAUCAUUGUGUAAACGCUGUUAUAAUAAAUUUGCAUAUCAUUAAAAUGGAACUAUUCUGCUGGGAUACAUAAUUUAUUUUAUACAGCGUGCUCAAAAAUUGGCGCACCAACUGAAUGGUGUGUGGUAGAGAAGUGGUUACAUAUAAAGGUACAAAUAGUAAAAAAAUUCUUUGUAUUAAAGUUAUUGAUAAAUAACGGAUUUUAGAUAAAUGAUAUGUGGCAACGUUGUCUAACAGUCAUGAUCUCAAUAGAAUUUGAGCGACAAUAAAAAUUAAUUAUUUUUGAAACCGUUUCCUAGGAAAUAAUUCCCAGUGUUGACACGUCUACACAUUGUGAUUUUUUGGAUGAAUUUUAAUUUUUUUAAAUUAAAAAAACUGCUAAAAUCUGAUAGUAAAUUUUAAAAUAAUUAUUCAUCGUUUUGUUACGGAACGAUUACCUGGUAUGAAACAUAAAUACAUAAAAAAAUAAUGAAAACUAAAGAAGUUAACACAAUAAGUUUGUAGCUCCAGAUUUUUUUACAUAUGACUUUAGGAAUUUUUUCAACAUUUUUCCCGUAAUGUGCACUUGCUUCGCAAUAACGUACCACUGAGUUGGUGCGCCAGUUUUUGAGCACCCUGUAUUUGUUUCGCUGUUACUUUUGUUAGUUUGUACUAUGAUUUUUUUUGGGUUUGAAAUUAAACUCGUAAAAUAUUAAUUUGGCAACCAAUCCAAUUUUCAUUCUUUUCCGACUUCAAAUAAUUAAAUCUACGUCUUUGUCCUGUCUAAAUUAGUCAUUGUUGCCAACUCAAUUUUAAAGUCAGGCGGCUUUGAUCACAAAUUUAUUUAUUAUACCAACAGUUUGGCAGAUUUUUGCCUUGUAGAUUUUCUCAAAAUGAAAAUUGUCUUCAACAUCUGUUUAACUAAAAAUAUCCAACAUUCACGGUUGUUUAAUAAUCAUUUUUAAUAAAAAAUUAAUGAAAAAUAAAAAAAAAUUUCAAGAGGUCGGUAUGUAGGCAAAAAUACCCACCACAACUGCGCUCCUGUAGGUAAGCCAUAGCAACAGCUUUGUAUUUUAAAGUUUGUUUCAAUUGUGUAUUUUCAAGGCUGUUCGAACCGAUCUAUCCGAAACGAUAUUCCUUUAUUUCAGAUUGGUUUUGUUUUAACAUUAAUUUUAAUUUAUUCCAUCACCGGACACGCGAAACGUUAUCUAAAAAUUAGACCUUUGUCAAUCGAUUAACAUUCACGUAAAUUCUAGUAACUAACCGAGCAUUCAUUAUUUUUGCCUCAACUCAUUCCAUGUUGGUAUAGUCCACUCGUAAUUCAUGUAAUUACACUUCGUACUUCAAUUUCAAACCCGCGUCACAGAUGCGCAAAUUGAUUUUUUUCCGCCAAAAGACAACAAUUUGCUUUAAUACCGGUUACUGAAUGCAAAUUAAUCCCAACGCGUGUUCCGACUGAAAUAUGAUCAUCUGGACAUGACGUGCCACUGUUUGUAAAUUUCAUCAAGUACCAAAAUCCUGGAUCCAUUUAUGUAUGAAUAGACAUCACCAGAUGUGUUUUUUUCGAUCCUAGAUACGAAAUUUAUUAUUGCGGUAGGUCGGACGCCAUCACUGCGCAUCAACAGCGAAAUUAGAGCCGAUUUUAUUUUUAGUGAGGCCGAAUUGUCUUCGAUAAAGACCGAGUAAUGGUCAUGGUUGGCUCUAAUAAUCCUCCAAGGACACAGCGGAAAACCACCCAAACUAAAAAUACGAACGUUUACGUUACAAAGUUCGCCCAAUGCAUUUUUUGAUCGCGAUUUGUUUGCUUUCGCAUUUUGACCGAUGAAAGUGCGGUUUAUUGCAGCCUUGUUUGUUUUCUCAUAACUUUGUGGGAAAAAUUCAGCGCGAAAUUACAAGGAUUAUGUCUUCCGUGGUGCAUUUACUCCGGCCUUGAUCUUGAACGUUCCGGUUGCCAGGGCGCAGUCUUUGCGGUCGUGGGUGCGCAUUCCUUGACAAAAUGCGAAUUUUUGCAUGUGGAUGCGAGUGUGCAAAUUACGUCAGUUGCAUAAAUUGUAUGGACGUUUAUGUAAUGGCUUAAUGAUUUAUAAAAAUAAAUGCAUACGUAGAAGCGCGCGCGCGCUAAAGAUAAGUCGGAAUUUUGGAUGCUGAGUUAUUCCAGGAAUUAGUGUUUAUUUACAACAAAAUCAUUAUUUCGGGUCACUCAAGAGGAAAAAACGACACAAAUGAGAGAACGGCUAUUUUAUGCAAAUUUGGGAACCGACAUUAUUUAUUGUGGUUUUUAUGAGUGUUUUGACACUUUUUUCAGGCAACGAAACGGAUUGCGAAUAUUAAUGACGAGCAAUUAUUUAUUGCAAAUUUUUUUUUACAAAUUGUUCCACACAGUUAUCGCGGUUCUAUUUUUGAUUAAUUAGUUGGGAUUAUCGUUUGUAAUUAUUUCAAAUAAACAGUGGACAAAUAUUUAUAAAAGUGGAAGUUUCCACAUUAGAAAUUCAGUUGUUGGGUAAUUAAUUUUGUUUAUCUAUUUUUAGCUAAUCUGUAGUAAGAAUAGAACAGUUUUUGUAAAAAAAAGUAUGCCACCAAACGUUUGAUUAAUUUGAAAACACAUUAGCACGUCACCAAUACUCAAAACUGGCAAUAAUGAUUUAUUUAAAAAUAUGAAAUUAUAAGCACAAACUUUUUUUCAGAAACAUUCUGUAUUUUUUCAAUUGAGAAUUUUGUUACUAAGGUUUUUAAUUGUUUUGUGUUAAAGCAGAUACUAUUUAUUUACUUUAAAGGACGUUAAUUCGACAAUCCAAAAAAGCGAUAAUUGGGAGAACCUCAGGCACUUUGAUUUUGCGUUUAGAAAAGUAGAAAGGCUGAGAAAUCUUAUUAGAACCAAUUAUAACGUACGAAUUUUGUGGGGAAGAUGUCACCACAUAAUUGUACGUAAGUAGUAAAAAGCAGUGCUUCUUU